rnacentral:rRNA from 1 species
GACGAACGCUGGCGGCGUGCUUAACACAUGCAAGUCGAACGGAAAGGCCCUGCUUUUGUGGGGUGCUCGAGUGGCGAACGGGUGAGUAACACGUGAGUAACCUGCCCUUGACUUUGGGAUAACUUCAGGAAACUGGGACUAAUACCGGAUAGGAGCUCCUGCUGCAUGGUGGGGGUUGGAAAGUUUCGGCGGUUGGGGAUGGACUCGCGGCUUAUCAGCUUGUUGGUGGGGUAGUGGCUUACCAAGGCUUUGACGGGUAGCCGGCCUGAGAGGGUGACCGGCCACAUUGGGACUGAGAUACGGCCCAGACUCCUACGGGAGGCAGCAGUGGGGAAUAUUGCACAAUGGGCGGAAGCCUGAUGCAGCAACGCCGCGUGCGGGAUGACGGCCUUCGGGUUGUAAACCGCUUUCGCCUGUGACGAAGCGUGAGUGACGGUAAUGGGUAAAGAAGCACCGGCUAACUACGUGC